GACGUAGGGCGCGAGCGUUGUCCGGAUUUAUUGGGCGUAAAGAGCUCGUAGGCGGCUUGUCGCGUCGGCUGUGAAAUCCCGUGGCUCAACUGUGGGCGGGCAGCUGAUACGGGCAGGCUGGAGUUCGGUAGGGGAGACUGGAAUUCCCGGUGUAGUGGUGAAAUGCGCAGAUAUCAGGAGGAACACCGGUGGCGAAGGCGGCUUGCUGGGCCAGUUCUGACGCUGAGGAGCGAAAGCGUGGGGAGCGAACAGG
rnacentral:rRNA from 1 species